CCUACGGGUGGCUGCAGUGGGGAAUCUUGCGCAAUGGGCGAAAGCCUGACGCAGCGACGCCGCGUGAGUGAUGAAGGCCCUAGGGUUGUAAAGCUCUUUCGCCAGGGACGAUAAUGACGGUACCUGGAUAAGAAGCCCCGGCUAACUUCGUGCCAGCAGCCGCGGUAAUACGAAGGGGGCUAGCGUUGUUCGGAAUCACUGGGCGUAAAGCGCACGUAGGCGGAUUUUUAAGUCAGGGGUGAAAUCCCGAUGCUCAACCUCGGAACUGCCUUUGAUACUGGGAGUCUAGAGUCCGGGAGAGGUGAGUGGAACUGCGAGUGUAGAGGUGAAAUUCGUAGAUAUUCGCAAGAACACCAGUGGCGAAGGCGGCUCACUGGCCCGGAACUGACGCUGAGGUGCGAAAGCGUGGGGAGCAAACAGGAUUAGAUACCCCUGUAGUC
rnacentral:rRNA from 1 species